UUAGGAAAUUUUCCCAAUGGGCGCAAGCCUGAGGGAGUAACGCCGCGUGGAGGAUGACGGCCUUCGGGUUGUAAACUCCUUUUCUGGGGGACGAGUAGUAGACGGUACCCCAGGAAGAAGCCUCGGCUAACUACGUGCCAGCAGCCGCGGUAAUACGUAGGAGGCGAGCGUUGUCCGGAAUUACUGGGCGUAAAGAGCGCGUAGGUGGCGCGAUACGACCGGUGUGAAAUCCUCCGGCUCAACUGGGAGGGGGUCACUGGUAACGGUCGUGCUGUGAGUGCAGGAGAGGGACGUGGAACUCCGGGAGUAGCGGUGAAAUGCGUAGAGACCCGGAGGAACACCAGUGGCGAAGGCGGCGUCCUGGCCUGCGACUGACGCUGUGGCGCGAAAGCUAGGGGAGCGAACGGGAUUAGAUACCCCGGUAGUCCUAGCCGUAAACGAUGGACACUAGGUGUGCGUGGUAUCGACCCCACGCGUGCCGGCGCUAACGCAGUAAGUGUCCCGCCUGGGGAGUACGGCCGCAAGGCU
rnacentral:rRNA from 1 species